UGGGGAAUAUUGGACAAUGGGGGGAACCCUGAUCCAGCCAUGCCGCGUGUGUGAAGAAGGCCUUAUGGUUGUAAAGCACUUUAAGCGAGGAGGAGGGUACUGGUAUUAAUACUACCAGGUACUGGACGUUACUCGCAGAAUAAGCACCGGCUAACUCUGUGCCAGCAGCCGCGGUAAUACAGAGGGUGCAAGCGUUAAUCGGAAUUACUGGGCGUAAAGCGCGCGUAGGUGGUUCGUUAAGUUGAAUGUGAAAGCCCCGGGCUCAACCUGGGAACUGCAUCCAAAACUGGCGAGCUAGAGUAGGGCAGAGGGUGGUGGAAUUUCCUGUGUAGCGGUGAAAUGCGUAGAUAUAGGAAGGAACACCAGUGGCGAAGGCGACCACCUGGGCUCAUACUGACGCUGAGGUACGAAAGCAUGGGGAGCAAACAGG
rnacentral:rRNA from 1 species